GGCGAUACCCGAAUGGGGAAACCCAGUGUGAUUCGUCACACUAUCAUUAACUGAAUCCAUAGGUUAAUGAGGCGAACCGGGGGAACUGAAACAUCUAAGUACCCCGAGGAAAAGAAAUCAACCGAGAUUCCCCCAGUAGCGGCGAGCGAACGGGGAGGAGCCCAGAGCCUGAAUCAGCAUGUGUGUUAGUGGAAGCGUCUGGAAAGGCGCGCGAUACAGGGUGACAGCCCCGUACACAAAAGCGCAUGUGCUGUGAGCUCGAUGAGUAGGGCGGGACACGUGGUAUCCUGUCUGAAUAUGGGGGGACCAUCCUCCAAGGCUAAAUACUCCUGACUGACCGAUAGUGAACCAGUACCGUGAGGGAAAGGCGAAAAGAACCCCGGCGAGGGGAGUGAAAAAGAACCUGAAACCGUGUACGUACAAGCAGUGGGAGCCCCACCACCAAAGCAUUCUCUGGUGUUGAAGGCCCUGCAAAGCAGCAUCGCGGUGGCGGAGCGUCGUUUGCGACGCCCAACACACAAAACAAGCGGUGAGUGCUUUG
rnacentral:rRNA from 1 species